rnacentral:rRNA from 1 species
GACGAAGGGGGCUAGCGUUGUUCGGAAUUACUGGGCGUAAAGCGCGUGUAGGCGGUUGUCCAAGUUGGAUGUGAAAGCCUUGAGCUCAACUCAAGAAAUGCAUUCAGGACUAGAUGACUAGAGGACCGGAGAGGAUAGUGGAAUUCCCAGUGUAGUGGUGAAAUACGUAGAGAUUGGGAAGAACACCAGUGGCGAAGGCGGCUAUCUGGACGGUUUCUGACGCUAAGACGCGAAAGCGUGGGGAGCAAACAGG